rnacentral:rRNA from 1 species
UACGAAGGGGGCUAGCGUUGCUCGGAAUCACUGGGCGUAAAGGGCGCGUAGGCGGCCAGCACAAGUCAGUUGUGAAAUCUCCGGGCUUAACUCGGAAAGGUCAACUGAUACUGUGCGGCUAGAGUGCAGAAGGGGCAACUGGAAUUCUCGGUGUAGCGGUGAAAUGCGUAGAUAUCGAGAGGAACACCUGCGGCGAAGGCGGGUUGCUGGGCUGACACUGACGCUGAUGCGCGAAAGCCCAGGGGAGCGAACGGG